rnacentral:rRNA from 1 species
GAGUUUGAUCCUGGCUCAGAUUGAACGCUGGCGGCAUGCCUUACACAUGCAAGUCGAACGGCAGCACGGGAGCUUGCUCCUGGUGGCGAGUGGCGAACGGGUGAGUAAUGCAUCGGAACGUAUCCUGGAGUGGGGGAUAACGUAGCGAAAGUUACGCUAAUACCGCAUAUUCUGUGAGCAGGAAAGCGGGGGACCUUCGGGCCUCGCGCUCUUGGAGCGGCCGAUGUCGGAUUAGCUAGUUGGUGAGGUAAAGGCUCACCAAGGCGACGAUCCGUAGCAGGUCUGAGAGGAUGAUCUGCCACACUGGAACUGAGACACGGUCCAGACUCCUACGGGAGGCAGCAGUGGGGAAUUUUGGACAAUGGGGGCAACCCGUGAUCCAGCCAUGCCGCGUGAGUGAAGAAGGCCUCGGUUGUAAG